rnacentral:rRNA from 1 species
UUAUCCUACGGGAGGCAGCAGUGAGGAAUAUUGGUCAAUGGACGGAAGCCUGAACCAGCCAAGUCGCGUGAGGGAAUAAGGCCUUACGGGUCGUAAACCUCUUUUGCCGGGGAGCAAGGGCCGGGACGCGUCCCGGUCCGGAGAGUACCCGGAGAAAAAGCAUCGGCUAACUCCGUGCCAGCAGCCGCGGUAAUACGGAGGAUGCGAGCGUUAUCCGGAUUUAUUGGGUUUAAAGGGGGCGUAGAUGGGUUGUUAAGUCAGUUGUGAAAGUUUGCGGCUCAACCGUAAAAUUGCAAUUGAUAAUG